UACGUAGGGACCGAGCGUUGUCCGGAAUCAUUGGGCGUAAAGAGCGUGUAGGCGGCCUUUUAAGUCCUGCGUGAAAUCCUGCGGCUCAACCGCAGACGGUCGUGGGAAACUGGAAGGCUAGAGUGCGGGAGAGGAGAGUAGAAUUCCCGGUGUAGCGGUGAAAUGCGCAGAUAUCGGGAAGAACACCCGUGGCGAAGGCGGCUCUCUGGAACGCAACUGACGCUGAGACGCGAAAGCGUGGGGAGCAAACAGG
rnacentral:rRNA from 1 species